rnacentral:rRNA from 1 species
UACGGAGGAGGCAAGCGUUAUCCGGAAUUAUUGGGCGUAAAGCGUCCGUAGGCGGCUCUCUCAAGUCUGCUGUCAAAGCGUCUGGCUCAACCAGAUAAAGGCAGUGGAAACUACAUAGCUAGAGUAAGGUAGGGGUAGAGGGAAUUCCUGGUGUAGCGGUGAAAUGCGUAGAGAUCAGGAAGAACACCGGUGGCGAAAGCGCUCUGCUGGACCUUAACUGACACUGAGGGACGAAAGCUAGGGGAGCGAAUGGG